GAUGAACGCUGGCGGCGUGCCUAAUACAUGCAAGUCGAGCGAACGGACGAGAAGCUUGCUUCUCUGAUGUUAGCGGCGGACGGGUGAGUAACACGUGGAUAACCUACCUAUAAGACUGGGAUAACUUCGGGAAACCGGAGCUAAUACCGGAUAAUAUUUUGAACCGCAUGGUUCAAAAGUGAAAGACGGUGUUGCUGUCACUUAUAGAUGGAUCCGCGCUGCAUUAGCUAGUUGGUAAGGUAACGGCUUACCAAGGCAACGAUGCAUAGCCGACCUGAGAGGGUGAUAGGCCACACUGGAACUGAGACACGGUCCAGACUCCUACGGGAGGCAGCAGUAGGGAAUCUUCCGCAAUGGGCGAAAGCCUGACGGAGCAACGCCGAGUGAGUGAUGAAGGUCUUCGGAUCGUAAAACUCUGUUAUUAGGGAAGAACAUAUGUGUAAGUAACUGUGCACAUCGUGACGGUACCUAAUCAGAAAGCCACGGCUAACUACGUG
rnacentral:rRNA from 1 species